GUCAUGAAGCUUGCUGUAUGUAAGCUGUACAAAACUCUGCCGUCGUCAUCAUCAUAUUCAAGGCAGGGUGUGGAGGACUGCUGCCCUGAGACCGCUAGGUUUAUUCUGGAAUAUUGUCACUUCCAAAGCCCAUUACAAGCCUGCAAGUGAGUUCACUCACCAGUGGGCUCUAUGAACUGUCCAGAGCAAAGUCAGUUUGUCCUGAUGGCACUACCUGCUACUAUGGCUGCUGCUCUCAACCUGGUGGGGCAAGUCUUAAGAGUUGUGUGAACCCUUAAAGGGUUAAGGCCAUAAUGGGCCACCCAGAAGAGAUUCAGGCACUCCCUCAAGAUUGCUGGGCCAUGCAAUUAAUGCCAAACUUACAGAACUGUGAUGUCAGUACAGAAACAAAAAUAGCCAUUUUUAAAUAAAUUCAACAAAAGAAAACAGAAGAGUUGUGUGUUUCUUCCUCUUUAUAAUGAUACUAUGGUUAGUUUUAAGUAAAUACUAUAGUGAAAACAAUUAUAAAUGCAGAAAACAUGAAACCAUAGUAGAAUAUGA